UGGAGCCCUGGCUCCCUCGCCACCCAGAGGGCUCUGGGAACCUGAGGCUGCCCGGGAGGGCCGAGGGCCGAGGUUGGUGGAGGCCACCUGAAGAGGGGAUCCUGCAGCUUAGGGGUCUACGGUGAUGAGAAGCCUGAGACAGGAAUGGGUGGGCAGAGGCAGCCGCAAGGUUUUGCGCAUUUGGUUUGGCAAGAUGUCGGUGAAGGAGGGAGCACAGCGCAAGUGGGCCGCGCUGAAGGAGAAGCUGGGGCCGCAGGACUCAGACCCCACGGAGGCCAACCUGGAGAGUGCCGACCCUGAGCUCUGCAUCCGGCUGCUCCAGAUGCCCUCCGUGGUCAACUACUCAGGCCUGCGCAAGCGCCUGGAGAGCAGCGAUGGCGGCUGGAUGGUGCAGUUCCUGGAGCAGAGCGGCCUGGACCUGCUGCUGGAGGCGCUGGCCCGGCUGUCGGGCCGUGGUGUGGCCCGCAUCGCGGACGCCCUGCUGCAGCUCACCUGCGUCAGCUGCGUGCGUGCCGUCAUGAACUCGCAGCAGGGCAUCGAGUACAUCCUCAGCAACCAGGGCUACGUGCGCCAGCUGUCCCAGGCCCUGGACACAUCCAAUGUGAUGGUCAAGAAGCAGGUGUUUGAGCUGCUGGCCGCCCUGUGCAUCUACUCGCCUGAGGGCCACGCACUGACCCUGGAUGCCCUGGACCACUACAAGACGGUGUGCAGCCAGCAGUACCGCUUCAGUGUCAUCAUGAACGAGCUCUCUGACAGUGACAACGUGCCCUACGUGGUCACCCUGCUCAGCGUGGUCAACGCUGUCAUCCUUGGCCCCGAGGACCUCCGUACCCGCACCCAGCUGCGGAGCGAGUUCAUCGGGCUGCAGCUCCUGGACAUUCUGACCCGACUGCGAGAUCUGGAGGAUGCUGACCUGCUGAUCCAGCUGGAGGCCUUUGAGGAGGCCAAGGCAGAGGACGAGGAGGAGCUGCAGCGUGUGUGCAAUGGCCUCAACAUGAACAGCCACCAAGAAGUCUUUGCAUCCCUGUUCCACAAGGUGAGCUGCUCUCCAGUGUCAGCCCAGCUGCUGUCAGUGCUACAAGGCCUCCUGCACCUGGAGCCCACCAGCCGCUCAGGACAGCUGCUCUGGGAGGCCCUGGAGAGCCUGGUGAACCGGGCCGUGCUCCUGGCCAGUGAUGCCCAGGAAUGCACCCUGGAGGAGGUGGCUGAGCGUCUGCUGUUCAGCAGAGGGAGGCCCCGACCCACCUCCCUGGACAAGGCCCACAAGAGCAUCCAGGCCAACCUAGGCCAGAGUCCAAGGGACAGGUCCCCCCAAAACACUGCUGCUCCCAUGGCUGGCAUGGAGGGCCAGCAGCAGGCCGCAGCUCCUGCCCACCAGCACCCAGUUGGCCUCCAGAGCACCAGUGGGGAGACAGCCCCCCAGCAGCCAGCACACCCCCCACCCCCACCCGCACCGCCCCUCCCCAGUUCCAGCCCUGGGCCCCUUUUACCCCCACCUUCCCUGCCAAGCCUGGAAGCUGGGUCUCCCCCAGUACCCCCUCCACCUCCAUUGCCAGGCCUAGGGUCCACGUCUCCUCCCCCAGCACCCCCUCCACCUCCUUUGCCUGACCUGGGGACCACUCCUUCCCCAGUACCCCCUCCACCUCCCUUGCCAGACCUGGGGACCACGCCUCCCCCAGUACUGCCCCCACCCCCGCCUCCCUUGCCAGGCCUGGGGGCCAUGUCUCCCCCAGCACCCCCUCUGCCACCUCCCCUGCCUGGCUCCUGUGGGAUCUUGCCCCCACCACCUCCUCCACUCCCCCCACCACCGCCUGGAGGGGGCUGGGGCCCCCCUCCACCUCCAACCCUGCCUGCGGGUGGCGUGGAAGAGCUCAUUGUGGCCCACGUGGACCACAGCCUGGGCUCGGCCUGGGUCCCCAGCCACCGCAGGGUGAACCCACCCACACUGCGCAUGAAGAAACUGAACUGGCAGAAACUUCCAUCCAACGUGGCCCGAGAGCGCAACUCCAUGUGGGCGACACUCAGCAGCCCUGGCACAGACGCGGUGGAGCCUGACUUCUCCAGCAUUGAGCGGCUCUUCUCCUUCCCCGUGGCCAAGCCCAAGGAGCCCACAGCUGCCCCAGCCAGGAAGGAGCCCAAGGAGGUCACUUUUCUUGACUCCAAGAAGAGCCUGAACCUCAACAUCUUCCUGAAGCAGUUUAAGUGCUCCAACGAGGAGGUCACCGCCAUGAUCCGGGCUGGGGACACGGCCAAGUUUGACGUGGAGGUUCUCAAACAGCUCCUGAAACUACUUCCAGAGAAGCACGAGAUCGAAAACCUGAGGACAUUYACAGAGGAGCGAGCCAAGCUGGCCAACGCCGACCAGUUCUACGUCCUCCUGCUGGACAUUCCUUGCUACCAGCUGCGGUUGGAGUGCAUGCUGCUGUGUGAGGGCACGGCCAUUGUGCUGGACAUGGUGCGACCCAAGGCCCAGCUGGUGCUCGCCGCCUGUGAGAGCCUGCUCACCAGUCACCGGCUGCCUGUCUUCUGCCAACUGAUCCUGAAAAUCGGGAACUUUCUCAACUAUGGCAGCCACACCGGGGACGCUGAUGGCUUCAAGAUGAGCACCUUGCUGAAGCUCACAGAGACCAAGUCGCAGCAGAACCGGGUGACGCUAUUGCACCACGUGCUGGAGGAAGUGGAAAAGAGCCACCCUGACCUCCUGCAGCUGCCCCAGGACCUGGCACAGCCCUCCCAGGCCGCAGGAAUCAACCUGGAGGUUAUCCGCUCCGAAGCCAGCACCAACCUGAAGAAGCUUCUGGGGACGGAGCGGAAGGUGUCCACCUCYGACCCUGAGGUGCAGGAGCAGUAUGCCCAGCGCCUCCAGGACAGCAUCACGGCCUCCCAGGCUUUGGACAAGGUGUUUGAGGCCAUCGAGCAGAAGAAGCUGGAGCUGGCCGACUACCUGUGUGAGGACCCCCAGCAGCUGUCCCUGGAGGACACCUUCAGCACCAUGAAGAUCUUCYGGGACCUCUUCACCCGCGCCCUGAAGGAGAACAAGGACAGGAAGGAGCAGGUGGCAAAGGCGGAGAGGAGGAAGCAGCAGCUGGCGGAGGAGGAGGCACGGAGGCCGCGGGGCGAGGAUGGGAAGCCUGUCAGGAAGGGCCCUGGGAGGCAGGAGGAGGUGUGUGUCAUCGAUGCCCUGCUGGCUGACAUCAGGAAGGGCUUCCAGCUGCGCAAGACGGCCCGAGGCCGGGGGGACAGCGAGGUGGGCAGCAAGGCCUCAGCAGAACUCCUGCGGGCCACAGUGCCAGCAGCCGCCAGUGACCCUGCCCAAGGCCCCCGUGAGGACGCCAGCCACCCCGUCCCUGAGCUGGGCCUUGAUGCUGCUGCAGCUGGGAGGCCACAGGGCUGGGACCUGGCGGAUGCUGUGACUCCCAGCCCAGGGCCCCCCCGGGAGGAGGGCAGUCUGCGGCCCUUGGAGAGGCGCUCCUCCUGGUACGUGGAUGCCAGUGACUUCCUGGCCCCCGAGGACACGCAGAAUCCCCAGCCCUCCGAGGGGGCCUGGCCAGUGACUCUGGGAGACACCCGGGCCCUGAAGCCCCUCCAGUUCUCUGGAGACAAGCCCCCCGGGGCUGAGAGUUCAAGCCAGGACCCGGAGAAGCUUGGAGGCUUGCAGGACGUCCACCAGGCCAAGGCACACAGCACAGGCCAAGGACCAGAGGACACAGCUAUCCAGGGCCAAAGUGCUGGCCCCCCUGCCACAGGCCCUGGUGGGGACGAGGAUGAGGAAGACACAGCCCCUGAGUCUGCACUGGACACAUCCUUGGACAAGUCCUUCUCCGAGGACGCAGUGACAGACUCCUCGGGGUCUGGCACCCUCCCCAGAUCCCGAGGCCGGGCCUCAAAGGGGACAAGCAAGCGGAGGAAGAAGCGUCCCUCAAGGAGCCAGGAAGGGGUGCUGCAGGCGCAACCCCACCCUGGAGAGGGUUGAAUAGUCUUAGGCGCACCACCCAGGGAAGCAAGCCGCACACAGGCAGGCAGCUGUGGGGGCCUCCGCUGACAGGUUGCUGUUCCCCUGACCCACUGACCCUGCCCCACUCCCACUCCCACAGGGCCUGGGGGCAGGGCGGCUGCAGCCAGAGGCUGUGCAGGGUGGACUGGCGUGAGCUGCCUUGGGCUCAGUGGCCAGAGAACUGGGGCACUGGACCUCAGUGGCACAUGGUCCUGGGGACGUUGGUGAGGCUGGCCUGGUCCCGUGGCCCCCAGAUGCCUCAUUCAGGGCUUCUCCCCUGUGACAAGUGCUGAGAGUAGUUUCUCUUAUUUGAAAGCAGAAGUUGCCCCUGGUUCUGACGCUAAUGUAACAAAAAGACUGUGUGCCGUCCAGUGAGGCCUCAGACCCAAGCCCAAAGCCAAGUGAGAGAGCCCUGGCCAGCCUGGGCACAGCAGUGGGCAGCUGGAUGUAAUGUUAGAAAUGAAUGAAGCUUUCCAGGGCCAGGCUGGGACUGAGCCCCUGAGAACCAAACCUCCGUGCCUUGCCCAGCCAGGGCCUCCGGAAGCCUCCCUGGGUCGUCCUGGCUGGAACCCCGCAGGCACCCAUGCCCUGGGCCCGCCCUCCCCCCAGGGCCUCUUGCACGCCCACCUGGUGAUCUGCUCUUCAGCCACCACCCAGCCCUGCACCUGCAUGUGCCACAGUGGGCUCCUCCCAUCUGCCUGCAUCGCCUCCAGGCCCUCGGGGGCUGGGCCCCUGUAGUGGGCACAGCGCCCCUGUCCAGCCUGCCACUGCUCAGCUGCUUUUUAACUGGAAUGCUGUCCCCAGGCCUCACUGUUUCGAGGCAGCUGGCUUGGGGACGGUGAGGGGGCUCCAGGCCUAGGRUUAGGCGGGCCCUGCUGUGGGCAGGCCAAGGCCCCCUCCGUUUCUGGCCCCUGGAGGUAGGGAGGGGUCUGCCUAUGGACAUAGCCAGGCCUGCCAACCCUGCGCUGGGCUGGCCCCAAGGGAUGGGGAGGGUCCACCUGCGCAGCUACAUGGUGGUUCUCAGCAGCUGCUGGGGGUCUCCUCAGUAUCUGCCCUGUGAGGGGCAGCCCGGCCCUGMCUCCUCCCACCCCCAGGUGUGUGCUGAGGAGGCUGGAGGCCAGCAGGGACUCUGACCAAUAAAAACCAAGCCUGGUCAGCUGUGUCCUUGUGUUCCGAGCCAUGGGCUGGGUGGAGGGGUACUUACGGUGCCGCCCCAUUGUCCGGCCUUCCCAACAGCUG